rnacentral:ncRNA from 1 species
UUAAAGUUUUAUUUUGGCUUAUAAUUUUGUUAUUAAUAUAUUUUAUAUGUAAAUUUUUGUGUGAAUUUUUGUUUAUUUUAAUAAUAAAUAAAUUUUUUAUAAUCUCAGUAAUUAAUUUUAUUAAUCAAAGAAAUUUGGAAAUAGUAAUUUUAUUAAGUAUUGGUUAAAUUUGUGCCAGCAGCCGCGGUUAUACAAAUAAUACAAAUAAAAUUUGUUCAGUGAAAGUUAAUUUUUAAAAAAUAUAGAAUAAUUAUAAAUUUGUUAGGUGAAAUUUUAAAUUUAUAAAAUUUUAUAAUUAGGUUAAUGAAGCUUGUAAAUUUUAAUUAAAAACUAGGAUUAGAUACCCUAUUAUUUAAAAUGUAAAAAUAAGCACUUAGGUAGUAUUAGUUAUGUUCUUGAAACUUAAAAAAUUUGCGGUAUUUUAGUCUAUUCAGAGGAACCUGUCCUGUAAUUGAUAAUCCACGAUGUACCUCACUUAAAUUUGUAUUUCAGUUUAUAUACCGUCGUUAUCAGAAUAUUUUAUUAGAAUAAUAAUUUUCAAUAAUUUAAUUUAGAAUUUAUAUCAGAUCAAGGUGUAGCUUAUGUUUAAGAAGAGAUGGGUUACAAUAAAUUUAUUUAAACGGAUUUAAUUUUCAAAAAAAUUAAUGAAGGUGGAUUUGAUAGUAAAAAUUAAAAGAUUAUAGUUUUGAUUUUAGCUCUAAAAUAUGCACACAUCGCCCGUCACUCUUACUAUUAAGGUAAGAUAAGUCGUAACAUUGUAGAUGUACCGGAAGGUGUAUCUAGAAUGA